rnacentral:rRNA from 1 species
AACGAACGCUGGCGGCAUGCCUAACACAUGCAAGUCGAACGAUAUCUUCGGGUCUAGUGGCGCACGGGUGCGUAACGCGUGGGAAUCUGCCCUGUGGUUCGGAAUAACAGUUGGAAACGACUGCUAAUACCGGAUGAUGACGCAAGUCCAAAGAUUUUGCGGCAGAGGAUGCUCCCGCGUAGGAAUAGCUAGUUGGUGUGGUAAAGGCGAACCAAGGCGACGAUCCUUAGCUGGUCUGAGAGGAUGAUCAGCCACACUGGGACUGAGACACGGCCCAGACGCCUACGGGAGGCAGCAGUGGGGAAUAUUGGACAAUGGGCGAAAGCCUGAUCCAGCAAUGCCGCGUGAGUGAUGAAGGCCUUAGGGUUGUAAAGCUCUUUUACCCGGGAUGAUAAUGACAGUACCGGGAGAAUAAGCUCCGGCUAACUCCGUGCCAGCCGCCGCCGUAA